UGGGUAUGCGCCACUGUGGUAAUGGACUCUGGAACAGAUGGGAUCUGCGGGAUCCUGGUCCAGCUUGGGGUAGGGUGGGGAGGGGAGGUUCUCUGAGGAAGGAAGGCCUUCUCUGAGGAUUUUAGUGUUGCAGCUCUUGUAGGUGAUACUCAAUGAAACAGCUCUCUUAGAGAAUCUUCAGUAAAAUAGCUGCUGUGCAUACACUGUAUACAAGGGCUACAUAUGAACCUUGGAGAGUGGAGAUUUCUGGGUGAAUAUAAAAGGCGAUGGCUGAAGCUUAAGUCCUGUGAAUGCCUCAUUUGUCUGGAGAUGCGUUCCGAGAAUCUCAGAUUUGAAUUUGCCCUUUGAAUCCUUGGUGGCAUAUGGUGGAAUUGUGGCUAGCAGACAGGAGCCUAGCAUAACUGUCUCCUGAGAGGCUCCGUCCAGUGGAUGGAAACAGAUGUAGAGACCCACAGCUGAAUCGCAGGCAGAGCUCGGGGAGUCUUGUGGAAGAGUGGGAGGAAGGACAGCACAAGAAGACCUGCAGAGUCAACUAACCUGGGCCCAUGGGGGCUUACAGAGACUGAGCCAAACAAAGAGCAUGCAUGGACUGGACAUAGGUCCCCUACACAUAUGCAGGAGAUAUGCAGCUUGGUCUUCAUGUGGGUCUUUUGUAACAACUGGAGUGGGGCCAGUCUCUGACUCUGUUGUCUGCCUUUCCAUCCCUUUCCCCUAGCUAGGCUGCCUUUCCUGGCCUCAGUGGGAGAGGAUGUGUUUAGUCCUGAUUCGACCUGAAGUGCAAAGAGGGGUUGGUAACCAAGGGGACGGGCCUUCCUUUCUCUGGGGAGGAGGGGAAGAGGCAAUGGGGAAAGGGGCAUGGGAGGAUAGGGGGGAGGGAAGCUUCAAUCAGGAUGUAAAGUGAAUAAAUAAAUUAAAAGAGAGUAAUUGUAGUUUGAAUAUUGAUAUCCAAUGCUUUUGGGUGUUUUAUUUUUAUGUAUUUUCAUAAGAGUAGCAUUGCUAGCCCAUCUCUUUUCCCCACCCCCCCAAAGGUUUACUGUUUCAUGUUAAAUGUUACAGAGUUCUGGAACUGUCAGAACCAUGCCUGAGAACCCAAAGAAAGAAAUGGUGUAACGGACAGUCCCAUCCACCUAGACUCGAUUCGUAUGCAUUUUGAUAAUUUCACAAUCUUAAAAAAAUUAUGACAAGACUUGGAAUUUACAUCUGUUGCAGGUCUUCAGUGUUCCAGUACAGUGUGCCAGUAAACAAACCUCAUCAUGCCUCUCUUCACGUCUUAAACCAUAACCCCAAACAGAAUGUGUGUAUGUGUCUAGCUGGAGUAAAGCAUACUUUAAGGGGAGUUUGUGGCUCAAGGUGUGAGAUUACUUGUUAAGGUUUCUGGUGCCCAAAUGAAGUCUUCAGUUCAAUUAAGAAUCUCAAGCUGCC
rnacentral:lncRNA from 1 species